rnacentral:rRNA from 1 species
UACGUAGGGGGGCGAGCGUUGUCCGGAAUCAUUGGGCGUAAAGAGCUCGUAGGCGGUUCAGUAAGUCAGGUGUGAAAGCUCCGAGCUCAACUCGGAGAGGCCACCUGAUACUGCUGUGACUAGAAUCCAGUAGGGGAGUGUGGAACUCCUGGUGUAGCGGUGAAAUGCGCAGAUAUCAGGAAGAACACCAGCGGCGAAGGCGGCACUCUGGGCUGGUAUUGACGCUGAGGAGCGAAAGUGUGGGUAGCAAACAGG